rnacentral:rRNA from 1 species
UGGGGAAUUUUGGACAAUGGGCGAAAGCCUGAUCCAGCAAUGCCGCGUGUGUGAAGAAGGCCUUCGGGUUGUAAAGCACUUUUGUCCGGAAAGAAAUCCUUGGCUCUAAUACAGUCGGGGGAUGACGGUACCGGAAGAAUAAGCACCGGCUAACUACGUGCCAGCAGCCGCGGUAAUACGUAGGGUGCAAGCGUUAAUCGGAAUUACUGGGCGUAAAGCGUGCGCAGGCGGUUUGCUAAGACCGAUGUGAAAUCCCCGGGCUCAACCUGGGAACUGCAUUGGUGACUGGCAGGCUAGAGUAUGGCAGAGGGGGGUAGAAUUCCACGUGUAGCAGUGAAAUGCGUAGAGAUGUGGAGGAAUACCGAUGGCGAAGGCAGCCCCCUGGGCCAAUACUGACGCUCAUGCACGAAAGCGUGGGGGAGCAAACAGGUUUAGAUACCCCUGGUAGUCCACGCCCUAAACGAUGUCAACUAGUUGUUGGGGAUUCAUUUCCUUAGUAACGUAGCUAACGCGUGAAGUUGACCGCCUGGGGAGUACGGUCGCAAGAUUAAAACUCAAAUGAAUUGACGGGGUCAUAGCUGUUUCCU